rnacentral:lncRNA from 1 species
GGCUUCUCUAGAAGGGCUGUGUCAGGGAUAUGUUUCACUUCCUGGUUUUUAAAGUAAUAGAGUAUUUCUUCUCCUCUUAAACAUGCUGAUGUUUGUGCCACAUCCUCUGAGUACCCUCUGUAGGUGAAGACAGAUUACAGAGGGGAGCAGAACACAACCUUCAGAUACAGGUCUCCAUGGGAGCCAUAUGAAGACUCAAGCCCAACAGUGCGAGCAGGACCAGAGAUGGCAUGGCCCAGAAUCUUCCAGAAAGCUAUAAAGAAGGCUUUAACAGAAAUGGACCAAAUUUUCAGAAGAAGAAAUCUCACAGUUUUGGGCUAACCCAGACGACUGGGUACUUCUGACAUCAGUCAGG